CCUACGGGGGGCAGCAGUGGGGAAUAUUGCGCAAUGGGCGAAAGCCUGAAGCAGCGAAGCCGCGUGAGGGAUGAAGGUCUUCGGAUCGUAAACCUCUGUCAGCAGGGAAGAACGGUCACUGUGCUAAUCAGCAGUGAAUUGACGGUACCUGCAAAGGAAGCACCGGCUAACGCCGUGCCAGCAGCCGCGGUAAUACGGAGGGUGCGAGCUUUAAUCGGAAUUACUGGGCGUAAAGCGCUCGUAGGCGGUAUGUCAAGUCAAGAGUGAAAUCCCCGCGCUCAACGUGGGAACUGCCUUUGAAACUGGCAGACUGGAGUGUGUGAGAGGAUAGUGGAAUUCCCGGUGUAGGGGUGAAAUCCGUAGAUAUCUGGAGGAACAUCAGUGGUGAAGGCGACUAUCUGGCACAUAACUGACGCUGAGGAGCGAAAGCGUGGGUAGCAAACAGGAUUAGAUACCCUGGUAGUC
rnacentral:rRNA from 1 species